rnacentral:lncRNA from 1 species
AAACAGGAUGAACAAGACCAGGAGGAGGUUUUCCUCUGUUUCACAGGAGCACGGACUAUUCUCUCAUGUUGAAUGUGGCACUUUUUACAUAUAAGCAGGAGAGCAACUACACCAAGAUUUUGGAAAACAUGUUAUGUAAGGUUAAUUGUGACCUCUAUGAUGGGGAUAUGAUAAAGAAGAAAAGUACCUCACAGUGAUGAUUGGCAUGUGAUCACUUAGCCAAUGAGAUAAGAGGCUGUAGAAAUGAUGUGAUAAUGACAUCUCCUGAGUUGCAGGUCCAUAUUAGAAGUAGAUAUGAAGUAAACAUUGAGCUUUCCUCAAAUUUAAUUAACAAGGUUUAUUAUAGAUACAGCUCAAAUUAGUUAAUUCAGGAAGCUUAUUUUGUAGAAAUUAAAACAUUAAUAAACACAUACAUUUAGAAAUAAAGAACUCGGCUGACCCUUUGACUCUUUGAAACAAGUGGCCUUCC